rnacentral:tRNA from 1 species
UAGCCUAGUGGUUAAGGCAAUGGAUCGCCAAUCCGGAGACGGCGGGAUCGAUUCCCGU